rnacentral:piRNA from 1 species
CAGCUCUGUGGGUUGCUGAUGGUCCAUGC